rnacentral:lncRNA from 1 species
AUAAUAAAAAAAUAAAUAAAAUAUAAUAGAAAAAAAAACUUGGACUUGGACCUCUCUCAUUUGAGCCCACAAAGCCAUGAAAAUCAGGUUAUAAAAGAGGGAGAUCAGACAGAAAAAGGAAGAGAAGCAAAAUACUCUAAGGUUUCCUUGAAACAAAACCCUUGACAAAACCUGGAGAGAAACCUGACAGAGAACUCAGAGCAACCCCCAAGCAGCUCUGAAAAAUUCAAUCUGACUCACACACUUUCAUCUCACACAAACCCUAACAUUGCCUUGCAAACCCAGCCGUGCCAUUU